rnacentral:rRNA from 1 species
UACGUAGGGUGCGAGCGUUGUCCGGAAUUACUGGGCGUAAAGAGCUCGUAGGUGGUUUGUCGCGUUGUUCGUGAAAACUCACAGCUUAACUGUGGGCGUGCGGGCGAUACGGGCAGACUGGAGUACUGCAGGGGAGACUGGAAUUCCUGGUGUAGCGGUGAAAUGCGCAGAUAUCGGGAGGAACACCGGUGGCGAAGGCGGUUCUCUGGGCCUUACCUGACGCUGAGGAGCGAAGCGUGGGGAGCGAACAGG